AACCUGGUUGAUCCUGCCAGUAGUCAUAUGCUUGUCUCAAAGACUAAGCCAUGCAUGUCUAAGUAUAAACGCUUCUAUACUGUGAAACUGCGAAUGGCUCAUUAAAUCAGUUAUAGUUUAUUUGAUGGUUUCUUACUACUUGGAUAACCGUGGUAAUUCUAGAGCUAAUACAUGCACAAAGUCCCGACUCUUCGGAAGGGAUGUAUUUAUUAGAUCCAAAACCAAUGCGAGUCUCUCGGGGCUCGGUUUCUUGGUGAUUCAUGAUAACUGCUCGAACCGUAUGGCCCUUGCGCCGACGGUGCUUCAUUCAAAUUUCUGCCCUAUCAACUUUCGAUGGUACGGUAGUGGCCUACCAUGGUUGCAACGGGUGACGGAGAAUUAGGGUUCGAUUCCGGAGAGGGAGCCUGAGAAACGGCUACCACAUCCAAGGAAGGCAGCAGGCGCGCAAAUUACCCAAUCCCGACUCGGGGAGGUAGUGACAAUAAAUAACAAUGCCGGGCUAUUGUAGUCUGGCAAUUGGAAUGAGUACAAUCUAAAUCCCUUAACGAGGAACAAUUGGAGGGCAAGUCUGGUGCCAGCAGCCGCGGUAAUUCCAGCUCCAAUAGCGUAUAUUAAAGUUGUUGCAGUUAAAAAGCUCGUAGUUGGAUUUCGGGGUGGCCUGCCUGGUCCACCGCAAGGUGAGUACUGGUCAGCCGCCCUUCCUCUCGAAAGCCCCGACUGCUCUUCACUGCAGUGGUCGGGUAGUUCGGGACGUUUACUUUGAAAAAAUUAGAGUGUUCAAGGCAGGCUAUCGCCUGAAUACAUUAGCAUGGAAUAAUGGAAGAGGACCUCGGUCCUAUUUUGUUGGUUUCUAGGGCCGAAGUAAUGAUUAAGAGGGACAGUUUGGGGGCAUUCGUAUUUAAUUGUCAGACGUGAAUUUCUUGGGAUU
rnacentral:rRNA from 1 species